rnacentral:rRNA from 1 species
GAUGAACGCUGGCGGUAUGCUUAACACAUGCAAGUCGAACGGACUCUUCGGAGUUAGUGGCGGACGGGUGAGUAACGCGUGAGAAUCUGGCUUUGGGUUCGGGACAACCACUGGAAACGGUGGCUAAUACCGGAUGUGCCGAGAGGUAAAAGAGAAAUUGCCUGAAGAUGAGCUCGCGUCUGAUUAGCUAGUUGGUGAGGUAAAGGCUCACCAAGGCAGCGAUCAGUAGCUGGUCUGAGAGGAUGACCGGCCACACUGGGACUGAGACACGGCCCAGACGCCUACGGGAGGCAGCAGUGGGGAAUUAUCCGCAAUGGGCGAAAGCCUGACGGAGCAAUACCGCGUGAGGGAAGAAGGCUCUUGGGUUGUAAACCUCUUUUCUUAGGGAAGAACAAAAUGACGGUACCUAAGGAAUCAGCAUCGGCUAACUCCGUG